AUGAAAAACUGUGUGCCUCUUCCUUAUUUUAUGCAUGCAUAUUUUUCAGGCUCAGCUGAAUGCGAUGCAUCUGAGCCGUCUGCAUGCUGCCACCACGAGCCCUAGCACGGCUUACCCGAGCCCCUGGCUUCAGAGCGGUGAGGCGAGGCCGUGCUCUCGCUCCAGCCAUGUUGCCAAUAGUGAGGAGGGAAUGCACACCAAGAGCAGCGCAUGUGAAAGACGCCCAUAUGCCAUCCCAACCAUCCCUGAGGUGCAUGAGCCUCUGGAGAGAAAAGCUCGGUUUAGGAGCCGCAAUGUCAUGUCUCUGGGUGAUGCGGACAGUUUGUGUCUGAUCUGCCAUGAUGACCUACGCAAAGGAGGAGGAGUUAUCAGAAAGCUUCACUGUUCCCACAGCUUCCACAGUGAGUGCAUAGAGGAAUGGCUAUGGAAUAAGCAGACCUGUCCCACGUGUCAAAAGCAUGUUGCCAUGCCAGAGCCACUGUACUGGACAUCUACCAGAGUAAUAGUGCCCUGAGCUCUUCCAGCUCCCAUUCAAACUACCUUGGACAUCAGAUGGGUAACAAAAACAUCAGACAUGAUGGUGGAUAACUAACAAUGCAGCUAUUUCCUACAAAAAAGGUAGUCAUAUGACUAAUCACAAAGAGGAGAUUUUGUUACAGAUUGGUACAGCAUUUCUUUGUACAUAGGCU
rnacentral:lncRNA from 1 species